rnacentral:rRNA from 1 species
UACGGGGGGGGCAAGCGUUGUUCGGAAUUACUGGGCGUAAAGGGCUCGUAGGCGGCCAACUAAGUCAGACGUGAAAUCCCUCGGCUCAACCGGGGAACUGCGUCUGAUACUGGAUGGCUUGAAUCCGGGAGAGGGAUGCGGAAUUCCAGGUGUAGCGGUGAAAUGCGUAGAUAUCGAGAGGAACACCUGCGGCGAAGGCGGGUUGCUGGGCUGACACUGACGCUGAGGCGCGAAAGCUAGGGGAGCGAACGGG